rnacentral:lncRNA from 12 species
CCUGUGUGCAUAGUUUUUUCUUGUUUUAUAUAUUUUUUUUUUGCCAGUUAGUCUUAAAUCUGUAUUCCACAACUUCAGGGAAAAUGAACAUUCCUAUUCUCUCUACUAUAUAUCUCCAGCUGAUGCCAGCUCUGACCCACCCCUUCAGGACCCAUGGUAGAUUGUAUGUGGAGUGUUUUGUUCGGGGGCUGCCACUCACCUGGCUGAAGGAGUGAUAGGGUUUGUGGAAGUCAAUGGAGAGCAUGGUCCCGAUGAACGGCAGCGAGGCUGGGCCUGGCGGGUAAUGGCUCCACUUCUUUCUGCGCUUCAUCAAGUCAAGCAGUACAGUAAACACUGCAAGAAAAAUUCCCAGUAUAGAGAAGUUGCUCCAGACUGAUGACAGCUGGGACCCCAGCCACAGGAGCAAUGCCAUUCUGCAGCCUGUCUAUCCUUGACCUUCCUCUUUUGACCCAAGACUGUCACUGUCUCCUUUUGCCUUUUCUCUUCUCUGUCUCCCACUUUCUUGCCCUGACAGCUGGGACCCCAGCCACAGGAGCAAUGCCAUUCUGCAGCCUGUCUAUCCUUGACCUUCCUCUUUUGACCCAAGACUGUCACUGUCUCCUUUUGCCUUUUCUCUUCUCUGUCUCCCACUUUCUUGCCCUGACAGCUGCCCCUUUCUCCUUGCUUCCUCCUCUUCCCCACACUGCUUUUUUUCUGAUGCUUCUCUCUCCCUGCACUUGCUGGCUUUUGAACAUGAAACUUGGCUCUAAGCUCCUCCUCUGCUCGGUUCAGCCUUAGGGGAGUGGUGAUGAGGUCAUCCCUCCUCCUCCUCUUCUUCCUCCAAAGGCUCAGAGGCCUCUGUUGCUGCUGGAAGUGGCGGC